AAAACAUGUAAUGAAAAGCAUCAGUGUUCUAUCAAAAAAACCACUUCUAACAACACAGAAAAAACAAUCCGCACAUAUGCCAGAUAAUUCAAAUUUUCAGAAAGAAAGAAGAACCUUUCUCAAGUUACAUACACAUCCAACUGGUUUUCAAUUUUAUUACCAUGGUUUACAUAACCAAAAAAAAUAAUUGCAUAUCAUGAUUACGUUCCCUUCUUGGACAAAGUUACAACAAACUAUAAUAGAAGUUUAAUCAACCCAAAUGACAAUAUAUUCUCCAUCUACAAUAACAUGAUUAAAAUCAAUAACCAAGAACAAACAAGUUCAAUAAUUAAUUUUAUUCUUCCUUUGUUGCCUAUUACACGCAUGUUCUUCAUCUCUUGCUCCAUUCGGUUAAUCUUUCUAAGUAAUCCAGAGAUUAUUUUCCUUGAUUUGUCAUACAUUGGAGGAUCGUACCAACCAAAAAUCUGACAAGCAUUGCUCUAUAAACAAAGAAGUUUUCAAUUUUAUGUGCAAGUAAAUAGAAUGGAAGAGAUAAGAGACAAAAUUAGAACCCUAAAACACUUACUUUUCCAUAAUUAGGACAUGAUAAAAACCUUCUUCCUGGGUAUCGGUUCAUGCUGUUUUAAGUUGAACUCGCCUCCCACAAUCACAUAGUGCGUUCAUGGCUGCAAAUACAAAACGGGAAAUCAUCCUUGUAAAUUAAGAGGCCAGGAACAAAGACUCGGGAACAAUGGAAAUAGACUGUUCUAUGAGAGAAGACAACUCAAAAGGCAAUUAAUAUUUAAGAAAUAUCAGAGACGUUAGCAGAAACUUCUGGAACGCUUGUGAUCCAAAAAAAUAUGGGAAUGUAUGUAACAGGUAACAGGAAGUGAAAUACAAAUAAAAGAUAAAGCGACAUUUUUGUUCAAAUAACAUUUAAGACAUCACUGAUCACAUAGAUAGACAUAGCGUUGGAAGCAGUAUAAGGAGUACACAACUAUCCUAAUCUGGAAACGACUUAGCGAAAAAUUAAAUACUAGAACAAACAAUCAAUGGUGAAUUAUGAAACACGAUACCAAUAUCUGCAACAUAACAUAUUUUUAUAUCAUCUCCAAAACCUCCUGCAACCUUAAUAUAUAGGCCCAAUUUAGAGGUCAACAGUUCACAAAGAAUUCAGUCGUACAAAAGUAAUUAAAAUUUCAGGACAAGUACCAUUUUGAAGUUCAUACUUGUACUACCCGCGAAUUUUAAUAAAUAAUAUUAGUAUUGAGAAUAAUAAUUGUGUGAAUAUUUAUUUGAAUAUAUAUAUAUAUAUAUAUAUAUUCAUGGCAAGAGGGGUGAUAAUUCAAUUAACUUGAAUUGAGUAUGAUGAUUGAGAAAUAUGAAGGAAAUAAUGAAAAUCUUAAUUUAAGUUUAUGUGAUAUGCUUUGUGGCAUGAUGAUGGACUAAGUGAUAGUCUAAUUAAAUUAAUAAAGGAAUGAUUUAAUGAGAAAAAGAUUAAUUAAUAUUAUAUUAUUUAAUUAAUUGUUGUUAUGUGUAGUUGAAUAUAAUUGAGUAAUGAAGUUAAUUCAUGCAUGAAAUAUAAAAUAAGGUGUGAAAUUAGAAGGGAAUAAAUGUUAUAUAAAAGUAAGUUGGAUCAUAUAAUUUUACUAAGUUCUGUAAAGGAGCUUAUGUGACAUCAUAAUGUGUGGUGGGACAUUUCAUUGUCUAUUUUAAAUAUAUGGAAGAAAAUAAAUUCAAGUAAAUAAGUAUUUACUAUUAAAUAUUUAUUUCCAUGUUUAUGUGUAAUUAGAAUAAUAAGUUUAUGGGAAAUAAUGGGGUAUUGGUACCCAACUAAAUUAUAUUCUAACUUACAUUAAAUAUUAUUUGGGUUAACCCAAUGUACAUGGAUUAUAUGAUUAUAUGUAUACGUAACCUUAAAUUAAACCAAUGUAAUAAUAUUAACUCAUUAAAAUUGCAUUUGUGAGUCAAAACGGAAUUAACCUUACGCUCUGUUUCUGAGUUUUAAAAUGGACAGAAAAGAAAAGAAAAGAAAUGGACGGAAAAUUUAAGUUUUCUUUCCAAUUCUUAUGUUUCUGAGUUUUUUAAUAAACGGAAAAGAAAAGAAAUGGAUAGAAAACUUGGCCACUUUUCCUGCCAAAGUUUUCCGUCCAAAAUUGGCAUGAUUUGGACGGAAAAGAAAUUAGAAUAAGUAAUAUUUUUAUAAUUCCCAUAUUAUCCUCAACUUUUAAUAUAAUAAAUUUUAAAUUACAACUCAUGUCCUCAAUUUUAAAUUUUCUAUCCUUUUCCAUUAAAAACUCAGAAACAACACAAAGGAAAACUUUAAGUUUUCUAUUCUUUUCUUUUCUGUUCUAAUUUAAGUUUUCUAUUCUUUUCUUUUCUGUUCAAAACUCAGAAACAGAGUGUUAGUGUAUUAAAUACAUUUUUACUGAUAUGUGAGGAGUAUUUCUACUUGUCCCAAAAUCUGUGUCACAAAUUUUCUACAGAUACGUGAAUAGGCCAUUGGCCCAAGCCUACCUUACCCAAACUCAGAGGAUAACAAUGAUGGUGAGAAGAAUGGAAGAGAAGAAGUUGGUAGUUUAUUUCCACAAACUCUUCAUUGCCCAACAUCUUCUUCCUUCUUCCCUUGGUUUAAUUUCUAGGGCAAUAACCAAAUUUGGAUAUUAAGUCCUCUACAAAUAGCAGCCCCCUCUUCUCAAAUUCACCUUGCUAGAUUGUCUGAUAAGUUCAUUUAGAGAGAGUGAGUUGUUAAUUUGAAAGAGCUAUCUGAAAUUUCGAAGCAAACUUGGUAACUCAACUUCAACAGAGGUAAUAUUUCGUAAGUACGUUCUUAGUUUCAAGUUUGAUAAAUUUUUGAAAUUGCAUGAAUUACUUAUGAAUUAGUUUGUAAAUUGCUAUCAUGAUGUUAACUGAGUUAGUAUGAAUGUAUGGAGUCAAUAGGUUUGGGUUAGGCAUGGUGAAUUGAGGGAUUUCAUGGAUUGUUAGCUGGGUUCUGUAGAAGCAGAGGCUUUUCUGUGUCUGUAACGAAGUGGCGCAGCCGCGCCACUUCCUAGUACAAACACAGCGCGGUUGCGCCGCCCGUCAGUCAUGAAAUCUAAUUUUUGUUGCUUUUUGUUAUUUUGAGCAUGUUAGUUGGACUUGAUUCUAGUUAUAAAUAUCUUUGACAUGCUAACAAAGGUUGCUUUACUUAUAGUCACUCGCCUUAACUUGUUUUAGUUGGAGUUUUAAAGGAAACUUAUAAGUUGAAAAACGAAACUUGACGAACUAUAUGUCUUUUAAGUUCCGACCUUUUGAGUAUGUGUAAAUACCCUAGAUAUGUAUAUAAAGGGGUCUAGCAUGUGGUCUAAAGUCGUCUUGCAUAUACUAGAUUGUUAUAGUUUGGUUUAGUAAUGAUUUUAAAGGAAAAACUUGAAGAUAAAUCUUGUGUCUUUGAGUUCUGAUCUUUUGGAACAUGUACAUGGCUUGAUUAUGUGUACAAAUGAUUAUGGGGCGUGGUUUCAAGUUUGUCUGGUGUAUAAUAGAUUGCAUAGCUUGGCUUUCAAAGAAAACUUGAAGUUUUGAAGUUUAGUACUCUUGAACAUUGUGUAAUUUGUAUUCUGACCAUUCAAGCAUAUAUGCUAGGACAUUUUUUUUUUGCUUAUAGAGAUGACCAAUGUGAUCACCCUCUAGCUAAGCAUGAUUUAGACUUUUCAAGCAUGGUUUAAAAUGAGAUUUCAAGUGUUAAACUAUUCAACGUAAGUGUAAAUAAGUUGUAUACAUGUGAUCAUGCGUAUUAAAGGUUUAUUAGCAUAAUUAUGUGAUAUAAUGGGUAAUAUGGUUAGCCUCUUGUGCAACGAACUCUUUUAGCCUUGUUAAGUAAAUGUUUUCCCGAAUAAAACUAUAACUUGCUUGCAAGUAAAUAGAAGAGACCAAACCUAGCCCAAAAGCAAAUAACAUGUAUGUACAGUAUGUAUCAUCAUCAAUGUAUGCUAGUAAGUGAGCUAAGAUCAUACAAACUCAUUUUCAGUUCUGGUUUGGAUAGGGAGCAGCGCGAAUCCAGCGCAGCCACGCCGUAGGACAGUGUAAUCUGACUGUUAAUUUGAUAAUCUGAAACUUGAUGCAUGUGUGUAUGAAUGUCUUAAGCUAUGCUACAUGACUUAAGUAAUGUUUUAAGUGUUCAAGCAUGUAAUGACUAUAUGAAACCAAGAUUUGAUAAGUGUUUCUAAAACUUUUACAAGCUAAGACAACGAUGAUUUCAAAAUAUAUAUGUGGUUUGAUUGUAUAUCAAAGGUGGGACUGAAAAUAUAUGUUUAACAUAUGUUUAAUAUGUGUUUAGAAUCGUAAGAUUAUGAACCAAACUUGUAUAACGUACUAAUGCGUAUAUACAUCUAUACAUAAAUAGGAUACUAUAAGACUUUGUAGUGACGUUAAGCUUUAGAUUUGUAAUCUACGCUAAAAGCAAGUUCCCUAACUUAAACUCGAGUUAUUAUCUUUCAAGCAUGUUAGUGGAUAAUUAUUGUGAUUACUCCACAUCUAUUGAACAUUCGCAUUUAUUGCAAGUUCUCUAACUCUCUUAACUUUACCUAUUGUGUAAAUCUGAAUUGUUGCUAUAUCGACUAUAUUUACAUCGAACAAAUAUCUCUUAAUAUUCAGACUUUGAUUUUGUAUCUUGAUGUUGUUACAAUCAUUAAACUUAUCAUUCCUAAAUGCAUUAUAAAAGUUAUCUAAGCCAUUUUAAUCGGUUAGACUAAUAUCAUGUGUUGGAAAGCUAUCAUAACCAAUUGUCUUGGUGCGGACUCUUAAAAAUCUACUGAGAUGAACAACCCUCAUUGAAGGGGAAAUUAUAUAUUGUCGGGAAACCGACGUGCGCACAAAAAGCAUGUUUAAAUGUUAUGCAUAACGUAGAGUAUUUUGGGUUGAUCACCUAAUAUACUUGUUUUAUUGGAUUAUCAGUUUAAUACUGAUGAUUCUUGUAGGAGUUAUUGGUCCAUAGUGACUACUCAAUGUUGAAACCUUUGAAUCCUUUUAAAAUCCUUCAGUCUAUAAUGACUCAUUGUUUAUGAUUCAAAUGACAGAUUUGGAACAAUUGAUACUUCUUGUUACAACAUUAUCCUUUUAAUUCCUGAACUAUUAUUUACUGUUAUAUCGUUAAGAUUUCAAUGUAUGCAUGUUCACCCUUAUUGUUAUAUACUUGCUGAGUAAAUUUGUUGCUCAUUCUUGCUUUCUUUAAACCUUUCAAUUAAGGCAGAACGUGGUGAACCUUCAAGCAAUGAUAAGGGAAAGGGCAAGGCUACGACAUAGCUUUGUUCUUUUAUAUAGAAGAUUUAUCGUAUUGUUGUAUUUAAGACUUAUAUAUGAUUUUGUAUUAUGACUUGAUUAGUAUUAUGUAUUAAGUUAUGUCUGGAUUUAAGAUAUUUAAUGUUGUAAUAACGGUUGCGAGACCUUGGGGCGAGAAUAUUUAUAUUAAAUUAAUGUAAAUUAUUCUAUUAUUCCGUUGUAUGAGUUAUUAGUGUAUUAUUCGAAUGAGAUCGUGAAGCACCGAAUUCGAGAUAUUAGUGUCUGAAUUUGGGGGUGUCACAAUACUGACACAAGUGGCAACCAUAAAUCUAGGAUCUUGUAAACAAAAAGUUGGAUAUUUGUCAUACCACUAAUAACUAAGCAUUUUAAUAAGUUUAACCCCAAGAAGUCUCAUCACCAUCCAAUGCCCAACUGCAACACUGCUUUCUGAACUACUUGAAGAUCUCAUACAAACAUAUACAACACAAAUAAACCGGGUGUUCAAAUACAGCAACAUAUUUGAUAAUACAUACAUAAGGGAUAUGAUGAGCCAACAUGAAGAAUGUUCUUCAAAGAACCAUUAUUUAUUGAGAUAUUUUAAAACCCAAUCCGAAAGUGGGAAAAAAUAAAUCAAACACCAAAUUUACAUAAACAAAUUUGUUUAUAUCAAUGAAGACUCACAUCAAGCAAUUUAUCAUGAAAGCCCAUUAGACUUAUUGUUAGUUGGUCCGUCAGAAAAGAAAAGGAAAAAGGGGCUUUAAUGUUUAAUCUUAUGGUGUCUGGCUUAUUUAUUGUGUCUUACUUACUCCAUGUAAAAUCUAAGGUGUUCACAUUUUCGAAAAAAAGUAGCAUGUGCUCUAUUCUACGUUGGCUCACUUAGUCCAGAUCUUUGGUUUGUCUAUCUUUGCAGGUUACAAUGCCAAUUUAACACUACUUGGUUUUGCAGUUGUUGAGCAUGCUUACCAGUUGGGAAAUGCAACUCAAAAACAGGAGCUUUUGAUGGAAUUGUAUUCUACUGAGCUGCAAUUGUUUAAGGAUCUGGUCUCUAUGAAAGAAAGCAGGUAAAAGACUAGCUUUUCAAAAUAUUUUCCCAACUCUUUUAUUCUUAAAGUGUGUCUUUAUCUUCAACACAAGUCUGGCAAAUAAUAUUCCUGUACGUAUAGCUUCCCUAUAUCCAUCUCCCGAAGAUUUUGUUACAGACAACAUUUUGAGUUUAUACUUCACUUAUAGACUCCACUUGCCCCCCCCCCCCUGCCCAUUUUUNNNNNNNNNNNNNNNNNNNNNNNNNNNNNNNNNNNNNNNNNNNNNNNNNNNNNNNNNNNNNNNNNNNNNNNNNNNNNNNNNNNNNNNNNNNNNNNNNNNNUUCAAGGACAAAGUUUAUGAAGAUAACUAUGAGUAAUUCUGGACAAAAGCUGAAUUUUGGAGUUAAAAACUUUAAAGGAAAAUCCAUUUUAGCAAAGAGUUGAAGAUUAGCCCUUGGGAGUUCUUUUUAUUUUUUAUGGCAGGAAGGAACAUAAUCUAUACAAUAAUUAUAUGACAACAUAACCAGGAGCUCUGAAAUUUUAAUAAACCCUUGCAGAUUCUAUGGUUUGGCCCUCAAAAAUUAUUAGCCCUAAAAAAGCAAUUAUUGAAAACCAAAGCAAAAAAUUUAAAAAAUUAAGCCUAAUUCAAGACUAACGGCAAGAAAGUUCAUUUAUCCACAUUUAAUUUUGUUACCUUGCAGUGAAUCGACGGAUCGAUUUAGGGCUUGGUGUGAAUCGACGAGAUGGGCGGAGAUAGCUUGGUGUGAAUCGACGAGAUGGUUGAGUCGCGAGGAGAUGGAUGAUUCCUUAAUGUGAAUCGACGGUGGUAUGACAACGUACGAGAGAUGGGCGGCCUUAGAGCAUCUCUGCAGUUACACUAUCUGAUUAGUCCAUAUGACAUAAACAAAUGUCUUUUAGUCUUCCAUCUUUUUA
rnacentral:lncRNA from 1 species